AUGGCUCCUCCAGCACCUUUUCUUCAGUUCUUCGUUCACGUCGACAUCAUGCUGGUGACUCUCUGUGCUCUCAUCACUGCUCUAACAUGUGUGAGUGGUGUGACGGUGCUGACACAGAAACCUGUUCUAUCAGUGAGGAAAGGAGAAACAGCCACCAUGGACUGUAACCUGGGGACUGUUACUGGCAGUGGUGCUCGUUGGCAUAAACAGAUUCCAGGAGGAGUUCCUCAGUUUGUGCUGUGGUUUUAUCGUGGCAAUAGUUCUCCAACCUAUGGCUCUGGGUUCUCCUCUCCAAAAUUCACAUCCACUCAUCAGUCAACAUCAGAUUAUCGUUUGAUCAUCAAGAAUGUGGAGGAGGGAGACUCUGCAGUUUAUUACUGUGAGACCUGGGACAGCUCUGUGAAAGAGGAGGUAUCACAGUGA